GAUGAACGCUGGCGGCGUGCUUAACACAUGCAAGUCGAACGGGAAACUUUUCAUUGAAGCUUCGGCAGAUUUGAUCUGUUUCUAGUGGCGGACGGGUGAGUAACGCGUGGGUAACCUGCCUUAUACAGGGGGAUAACAACCAGAAAUGGUUGCUAAUACCGCAUAAGCGCACAGGACCGCAUGGUCCGGUGUGAAAAACUCCGGUGGUAUAAGAUGGACCCGCGUUGGAUUAGCUAGUUGGCAGGGUAACGGCCUACCAAGGCGACGAUCCAUAGCCGGCCUGAGAGGGUGAACGGCCACAUUGGGACUGAGACACGGCCCAGACUCCUACGGGAGGCAGCAGUGGGGAAUAUUGCACAAUGGGGGAAACCCUGAUGCAGCGACGCCGCGUGAAGGAAGAAGUAUCUCGGUAUGUAAACUUCUAUCAGCAGGGAAGAUA
rnacentral:rRNA from 1 species